CGGGGAGCUUGCUCCCUGAGAUUAGCGGCGGACGGGUGAGUAACACGUGGGCAACCUGCCUAUAAGACUGGGAUAACUUCGGGAAACCGGAGCUAAUACCGGAUACGUUCUUCUCUCGCAUGAGAGAAGAUGGAAAGACGGUUUACGCUGUCACUUAUAGAUGGGCCCGCGGCGCAUUAGCUAGUUGGUGAGGUAAUGGCUCACCAAGGCGACGAUGCGUAGCCGACCUGAGAGGGUGAUCGGCCACACUGGGACUGAGACACGGCCCAGACUCCUACGGGAGGCAGCAGUAGGGAAUCUUCCGCAAUGGACGAAAGUCUGACGGAGCAACGCCGCGUGAACGAAGAAGGCCUUCGGGUCGUAAAGUUCUGUUGUUAGGGAAGAACAAGUACCAGAGUAACUGCUGGUACCUUGACGGUACCUAACCAGAAAGCCACGGCUAACUACGUGCCAGCAGCCGCGGUAAUACGUAGGUGGCAAGCGUUGUCCGGAAUUAUUGGGCGUAAAGCGCGCGCAGGUGGUUCCUUAAGUCUGAUGUGAAAGCCCACGGCUCAACCGUGGAGGGUCAUUGGAAACUGGGGAACUUGAGUGCAGAAGAGGAAAGUGGAAUUCCAAGUGUAGCGGUGAAAUGCGUAGAGAUUUGGAGGAACACCAGUGGCGAAGGCGACUUUCUGGUCUGUAACUGACACUGAGGCGCGAAAGCGUGGGGAGCAAACAGGAUAGAUACCCUGGUAGUCCACGCCGUAAACGAUGAGUGCUAAGUGUGAGGGUUUGCCUUUAGUGCUGCAGCUAACGCAUUAAGCACUCCGCCUGGGGAGUACGGCCGCAAGGCUGAAACUCAA
rnacentral:rRNA from 2 species